CAGUCGCCGCGGGAAUACGGAGGGGGCUAGCGUUGUUCGGAAUUACUGGGCGUAAAGCGCACGUAGGCGGCUUUGUAAGUUAGAGGUGAAAGCCCGGAGCUCAACUCCGGAAUUGCCUUUAAGACUGCAGAGCUAGCAGGUGAGAGAGGUGAGUGGAAUUCCGAGUGUAGAGGUGAAAUUCGUAGAUAUUCGGAAGAACACCAGUGGCGAAGGCGGCUCACUGGCUCAUUCUAGACGCUGAGGUGCGAAAGCGUGGGGAGCAAACAGGAUUAGAUACCCGCGUAGUCCCUGUCUCUUAUAC
rnacentral:rRNA from 1 species